GGCGGCAAUUCAUCUAAUUAAAGGAACUUGUUUAAUAAUCGAUAUUCCACGUUAAGUUUCACUUAAGUUAAUAAUUUAUAUACCGCCAUCUAAAGAAUUAAUUAAUAUAAAUUACUCUAAAUAUUUAUAUUUAUAAAAAGUUAGGUCAAGGUGUAAUCUACACUUAAGAAAUUAAUGAGUUACAAUAAACUAUAUUUAAAGACUAUUAUAUUAAAUAAUAAU
rnacentral:rRNA from 1 species